CCACAGAAUAGCUGAUGCGGCGGCUACACAUGCAAGUCGAGCGGAUGAAGGGAGCUUGCUCCUGGAUUCAGCGGCGGACGGGUGAGUAAUGCCUAGGAAUCUGCCUGGUAGUGGGGGAUAACGUCCGGAAACGGGCGCUAAUACCGCAUACGUCCUGAGGGAGAAAGUGGGGGAUCUUCGGACCUCACGCUAUCAGAUGAGCCUAGGUCGGAUUAGCUAGUUGGUGGGGUAAAGGCCUACCAAGGCGACGAUCCGUAACUGGUCUGAGAGGAUGAUCAGUCACACUGGAACUGAGACACGGUCCAGACUCCUACGGGAGGCAGCAGUGGGGAAUAUUGGACAAUGGGCGAAAGCCUGAUCCAGCCAUGCCGCGUGUGUGAAGAAGGUCUUCGGAUUGUAAAGCACUUUAAGUUGGGAGGAAGGGCAGUAAGUUAAUACCUUGCUGUUUUGACGUUACCAACAGAAUAAGCACCGGCUAACUUCGUGCCAGCAGCCGCGGUAAUACGAAGGGUGCAAGCGUUAAUCGGAAUUACUGGGCGUAAAGCGCGCGUAGGUGGUUCAGCAAGUUGGAUGUGAAAUCCCCGGGCUCAACCUGGGAACUGCAUCCAAAACUACUGAGCUAGAGUACGGUAGAGGGUGGUGGAAUUUCCUGUGUAGCGGUGAAAUGCGUAGAUAUAGGAAGGAACACCAGUGGCGAAGGCGACCACCUGGACUGAUACUGACACUGAGGUGCGAAAGCGUGGGGAGCAGACAGGAUUAGAUACCCUGGUAGUCCACGCCGUAAACGAUGUCGACUAGCCCUUGGGAUCCUUGAGAUCUUAGUGGCGCAGCUAACGCGAUAAGUCGACCGCCUGGGGAGUACGGCCGCAAGGUUAAAACUCAAAUGGAAUUGAACGGGAAAA
rnacentral:rRNA from 1 species